CAGAGGGGGCAAGCGUUGUUCGGAAUUACUGGGCGUAAAGGGCGCGUAGGCGGCCCUCUAAGUCGAACGUGAAAUCCCUGGGCUCAACCCAGGAACUGCGUCCGAAACUGGGGGGCUAGAAUCCGGGAGAGGGAUGUGGAAUUCCAGGUGUAGCGGUGAAAUGCGUAGAUAUCUGGAGGAACAUCGGUGGCGAAGGCGGCAUCCUGGACCGGUAUUGACGCUGAGGCGCGAAAGCCAGGGGAGCAAACGGGAUUAGAUACCCCGGUAGUCCUGGCCCUAAACGAUGAAUGCUUGGUGUGGCGGGUAUCGAUCCCUGCCGUGCCGAAGCUAACGCAUUAAGCAUUCCGCCUGGGGAUACGGUCGCAAGGCUG
rnacentral:rRNA from 1 species